UACGUAGGGUGCGAGCGUUAAUCGGAAUUACUGGGCGUAAAGCGUGCGCAGGCGGUGAUGUAAGACAGAUGUGAAAUCCCCGGGCUCAACCUGGGAACUGCAUUUGUGACUGCAUCGCUGGAGUGCGGCAGAGGGGGAUGGAAUUCCGCGUGUAGCAGUGAAAUGCGUAGAUAUCAGGAGGAAUACCGAUGGCGAAGGCAGGUCUCUGGGCUGACACUGACGCUCAUGCACGAAAGCGUGGGGAGCAAACAGG
rnacentral:rRNA from 1 species